rnacentral:rRNA from 1 species
GAUGAACGCUAGCGGCAGGCUUAACACAUGCAAGUCGAGGGGCAGCACGGGUAGCAAUACCUGGUGGCGACCGGCGGAAGGGUGCGUAACGCGUGAGCAACAUGCCCUAUACAGGGGAAUAAACCAGGGAAACUUGGUCUAAUGCCCCAUAGCAAUAAGAUAAGGCAUCUUAUUUUAUUUAAAGCUUCGGUGGUAUAGGAUUGGCUCGCGUGACAUUAGCUGGAUGGUGGGGUAACGGCCCACCAUGGCGAUGAUGUCUAGGGGUUCUGAGAGGAAGACCCCCCACACUGGGACUGAGACACGGCCCAGACUCCUACGGGAGGCAGCAGUGAGGAAUAUUGGACAAUGGAUGGAAAUCUGAUCCAGCCAUGCCGCGUGCAGGAAGACGGCCCUAUGGGUUGUAAACUGCUUUUCUACGGGAGCAAUAAGGUCUACGCGUAGACUGAUGAGAGUACCGUAGGAAUAAGCAUCGGCUAACUCCGUGCCAGCAGCCGCGGUAAUACGGAGGAUGCGAGCGUUAUCCGGAUUUAUUGGGUUUAAAGGGUGCGUAGGCGGCUUUUUAAGUCAGCGGUGAAAUUUUGUAGCUUAACUGUAACAGUGCCGUUGAUACUGAGGAGCUAGGAUUUGGUUGCUGUGGGUGGAAUGUGUGGUGUAGCGGUGAAAUGCUUAGAGAUCACACAGAAUAUCGAUUGCGAAGGCAGCUCACAAAGCCAAGAUUGACGCUGAGGCACGAAAGUGUGGGGAUCAAACAGGAUUAGAUACCCUGGUAGUCCACACUGUAAACGAUGAUAACUCGCUGUCGGCGAUACACAGUCGGUGGCCAAGCGAAAGCGAUAAGUUAUCCACCUGGGGAGUACGACCGCAAGGUUGAAACUCAAAGGAAUUGACGGGGGCCCGCAC